UGAAGACUCACUCGCUGUUAUUUUCAUUUUUUAGCUCUUAUGAGGUAUUGUCUAUUAAUAAAGCGAAGACAUUACAAAUGCCUCAAGAAGCCCGAACUCAGCUGAGCAGACUCGGACACGGGGAGGAUUCCAAGUCUUUUUGUCACAUUUCCGGAUCUCAGAGCAGAGUCAAGGCAGAGCAAACACAGCAAGAGAGCACAAAAGCUGAAGCAGGAAGUGAUGACGGAGUCUCUUAUAGCAAGGAGUCAGCUGAUCAGGCAGGGCGUGGUACCAAUUAGGCUGCAGGAACCAAUCAGCUUCUUCCUGGACAGAAGACACACACAAACACUUCCCAAACAUAAGAAAACACAGAAGCAGAACACAAGGGACGUAGCAGCAUCAUUAAACUAGCAUCUAACAAUGGACAAAACUGUUUUUUGUUUUGUUUUGUUUUUUUCUUUAACCUAUGGUUCUCCAACCGUAAAGGCUGCUGUGUAAUUUGCCCCCGACUAAGCAUUUACAGAAUCUAGGGGAAGCAUUUAAAUAAUCCUGUGAAUGCACUUAAAGAAUGC
ensembl:lncRNA